CAGACCUUUAUUUAAAAAUCGGGGAAUGCUAUUCGAUACCAAUAUAAAUAUUGUUUACUAUUCUGGCAAAAUUCUUGAGAAAAAUCCGAUAUCCUAACCUCAAAGACUUUACAAAGGUGUGUUCUAUGAUGUUGACAAUUAACAAGUCGCAUAUUUUUACGAAAUCAUUACAUUUUUGUACAGAAAAUCCAAUUGUAUAUUCGUUUUUCUAAUAACUAUGCUCGGCUACAAAAAAUAUCGUAACCUCUUCUGAAAAGAAGGCGUUGUACCCGUUGUUUUGAAAAUGUUGUGGUCGCAAGCACACGUUGUGGUCGCAAUUUAUUGUUGUGGUGCUGAUGUGAAAUAAAACAGACGGAUAAUUGAAUCUUUAUUUCUGUCUCUUUGUCUGUCUGUUUCUGUGUCUGUCUGUCUGUCUGUCUGUCUGUCUGUCUGUCUGUCUGUCUGUCUGUCUGUCUGUCUGUCUGUCAAUCUGUCUUUCUCUGUGUAUGUGUGUCUGUCCCUUUGUCCGUCCGUCCGUCCUUGUCCGUCCGUCCGUCUGAUUGUUACUCAAUCUACAUUUUAUCCAGACUGGCUCAUGUUCGAAAUCUGGUGCUGGUGACUUGAGGAAUCACUCUGCAUUUCAUUAAAUAAAUAUAUUGUUAAAUAUAGAAAGCAAAUAACCGAAUCCCUUAAAUUGUUGUGUAUAUGUUCAUCAUUUAGUAUGGUUAUGAAUUUCAUUUAUGUGCUCAUCUCUAUGUGAAGUCGAAUAACAGUAUAAACAUUGACAUAUUUGAAACGCACUUGAUUACAGAGUUAUUUACCUUAUUAACAAAUGCGCUAUUGUGUGCACUGCUGUUUUUUAUGUUGGCACAAUGAGAUUUCCAGAAGACAAACGAGACUUUUAAAGUUAACAUAUCCAUUUUGUUAUAGCAGGUGAAGAUGAAUUACCUCAUUGCCAGGUCUUUUUAAACGCGGCACAGUUUUAAUUUGCUACUAACGUUAUUAUUGGAAUUAAAAAUACAAGUUUAAUACAAAGUCGCAACGUGGAUAUGCCGACAUCAAACAAACGCCAAAAGUGUUUCUGCUACUUCUGUGGAAGGAUUUUUAGUGCAGAAGUCAUAGUCUCGUUCCAUAUCAAAAACAUCCAUGAACAAACAAUUCGCAACUCGCUUUGUCUGCGGUAAAAACAUGUAGCACAGUUUUAAACAUGAAAAGACAUCAACGCGUCGUCCACUUGAAAAAAGGGCCUCAUACGUGUUUUGUAUGCAACAAACAUUUGCUUGCAGGCGAGACAUUAACUAACAUAUGAGCAAGUCUCAUGGCAACGGAUACAAAUACAAGUGUGAAAAUUGGUGCAAGGAGUAUGCGUACAAACGAAGUACUGAACGACACGUGGCUGUGUGUGGCAGACAAAAACCAGAAGUCAUAUGUGAAAAGUUCAAAGAGCAUGUUGGGAAUGAAAUGAGGCCAACGGGCUGUUUGAUUUUAUUUAUGUAACGACUACAUUGUAUGCAUGUUUUAAUUACGUUAAUUGCUUAAUAUGUUUUGCUUCAGUAUAUAUUUUAUAUGUAAUUAAAGACAAUUUGUUUGUUUUUGCUUUAUUUUAAACUGCAUAAACUUAAUGCUAUUGAGAUAAAAAAAAUAUGCUUUAGAUUAAACUGUAUAACAUAUAUGAAAGUUUGCUCAAUAAUUGUAUUUCUUUCCCCUCUGAUAUUUGAUUAAAUUAUCAGUUAAUAAAUUUUAACGUACAUAUCAAAAUGCAAUUCAAGGUUGAAAUUUGACCACACUCGUAGUAAGUUUUUUUGUUUCCACUAACAUUGCCAAAACGUAGGGAAGGUAGGUCAGCGAAACUUUUUUCAUUUGACGUUGUUUACCUGUGCAAGAUAUUUUCAACUAAGCAAGUUCUUCUAAAUGUGUUUUCUGCUCCAAUUAGAAGUUAUUUUGGCACCAGAUUUGCAAAAUUAUCUUUAUAAUACCCAUAGCAAUUAGAUGUAAGAUUUAUCUUACUCUUAUAUAUUUUGUUUUACUUAAAACCGAUAUUUGAAGUUGAAAACUUGAUCAACAUUCUCCUUUGUUGAAGUGAAAUAUGUUCAUAAAGUUUUGGCUAUAGAUGCUGAACUGUAUUUUUAUAAUAUGUAUAGUCUCUUAUAACUCAAUUGUGAGUGGCAUUUAUGUACUAUGUUUUAAAGCUAUUUUAUAUAUGUUUUACUAGGUACAUGAUGAUGAGACUUUAAUAAACUAUCUUAUCUA